UACGGGGGGGGCAAGCGUUGUUCGGAAUUACUGGGCGUAAAGGGCUCGUAGGCGGCCAACUAAGUCCGACGUGAAAUCCCCAGCUUAACCUGGGAACUGCGUCGGAUACUGGAUGGCUUGAAUUCGGGAGAGGGAUGCAGAAUUCCAGGUGUAGCGGUGAAAUGCGUAGAUAUCUGGAGGAAUACCGGUGGCGAAGGCGGCAUCCUGGACCGACAUUGACGCUGAUGAGCGAAAGCUAGGGGAGCAAACGGG
rnacentral:rRNA from 1 species